GGUCCUAUCGUCUAGCGGUCUAGGACACAGCCCUUUCAAGGCUGCGACACGAGUCCAAAUCUCGUUAGGACCGCCA
rnacentral:tRNA from 1 species